ACGAACGCUGGCGGCGUGCCUAAUACAUGCAAGUCGAACGGUCUUUCUAUGGAAGCUUGCUUCCACUGAGAAGAUAGUGGCGAACGGGUGAGUAACACGUGGGUAACCUGCCCAUAAGAGGGGGGAUAACAUCCGGAAACGGGUGCUAAUACCGCAUAGUUUUCUUGAUCGCAUGAUUGAGAAAGGAAAGACGGCCUUUGUGCUGUCGCUUAUGGAUGGACCCGCGGCGUAUUAGUUAGUUGGUGAGGUAACGGCUCACCAAGACGAUGAUACGUAGCCGACCUGAGAGGGUGAUCGGCCACAUUGGGACUGAGACACGGCCCAAACUCCUACGGGAGGCAGCAGUAGGGAAUCUUCCGCAAUGGACGAAAGUCUGACGGAGCAACGCCGCGUGAGUGAAGAAGGUUUUCGGAUCCGUAAAACUCUGUUGUCAGAGAAGAACAAGUUGGAGAGUAACUGCUCCAGCCUUGACGGUAUCUGACCAGAAAGCCACAGCUAACUACGUGCCAGCAGCUGC
rnacentral:rRNA from 1 species